CUGUCCAGGAGGAGGUGAGGGUACACCUACCCCUCAAUGCUGCCCAUGUCUGUGGCUGUCAGAGGACAUAGGGGCAGGCACAUCAAAGCCACCAGCCCAGGAGAACGGGUUCCUUUGAUUUGCCCUGCUGCUCCUCUCUGCUGGGAAGGCAGGAUGAAGGACCCCAACCCACCCCCAGCAGGGUCACUUCAGGGAUCUAUCCAGGGAGCACUCCUGGUCCUGUGGAUCUUUCAUCAUGGCUGUCAUGACAUUGGCAUUGUGUUAGUUCAUUCUGCAUUAUUAAAAUGAAAUACUCGGGCAAGGCGUGGUGGCACACACCUGUAAUCCCAGCACUUGGGAGGCUGAGGCAGGAGGAUCUCUGUGAGUUUGAGACUAGCCUGGGCUACAUAGUGAGUUCUAGGUCAGUCUCAACUACAUAGUGAGACCCUGUGUCAAACAAACAAUACUCAAGGCAAGCUGCUUUAUAAACAAAAUGGGAUCUUGUAGCACACAGUUCUGGAGGUUCAAGGGAACAGCACCAGCAUCAGCUCAGCUCAGGUGAGAACUUCAUGG
rnacentral:lncRNA from 1 species